rnacentral:rRNA from 1 species
CAGCCAUGCCGCGUGUAUGAAGAAGGCCUUGGGUUGUAAAGUACUUUCAGCAGUGAGGAAGGUGGGUAUGUUAAUAGCAUAUUCAUUUGACGUUAGCUGCAGAAGAAGCACCGGCUAACUCCGUGCCAGCAGCCGCGGUAAUACGGGAGGGUGCGAGCGUUAAUCGGAAUUACGUGGGACGUAAAGCGCAUGCAGGUGGUUUGUUAAGUCAGAUGUGAAAGCCCGGGGCUCAACCUCGGAAUUGCAUUUGAAACUGGCAAACUAGAGUACUGUAGAGGGGGUAGAAUUUCAGGUGUAGCGGUGAAAUGCGUAGAGAUCUGAAGGAAUACCGGUGGCGAAGGCGGCCCCCUCGGACAGAUACUGACACUCAGAUGCGAAAGCGUGGGGAGCAAACAGGAUUAGAUACCCUGGUAG